GACGAACGCUGGCGGCGUGCUUAACACAUGCAAGUCGAACGAAGUGGCGAACGGGUGAGUAACGCGUAAUCAACCUGCCCUUCAGAGGGGGACAACAGUUGGAAACGACUGCUAAUACCGCAUACUGAAGGAGGGGUUUGUGUCUGAUUAGCUAGUUGGAGGGGUAACCGGCCACAAAGGCGAUGAUCAGUAGCCGGUCUUGUGAGGUGAACCGCCAAAUCUGGAAUGGGACACGGCCCAGGCCCCUUCGGGAGGCAGCAGGGGGGAAAUCUCCGAAAUGGAGGAAAGUCUGAAUGAGCAACGGCGCGUGAGGGAUGAAGGCCUUCGGGUUGGAAAGCUCUGUUAAUCGGGACGCGGUACCGGAAUAGAAAGCCACGGCUAACUACGUGCCAGCAGCCGCGGUAAUAC
rnacentral:rRNA from 1 species